UACGUAGGUCGCAAGCGUUAUCCGGAAUUAUUGGGCGUAAAGCGUCCGUAUGCGGUUUUUUAAGUCCGUGGUUAAAUCCCAGAGCUCAACUCUGGAAUCGUCAUGGAAACUGGAAAACUUGAGGAGUGAAGGGGCAGAUGGAAUUUCCGAAGUAGGGGUAAAAUCCGUAGAUCUCGGAAGGAACACCAAACGCGAAGGCAUUCUGCUGGUCACUAUCUGACGCUGAGGGACGAAAGCGUGGGGAGCAAACAGG
rnacentral:rRNA from 1 species